ACUCAAAUGAAUUGACGGGGACUUGCACAAGCGGUGGAUGAUGUGGUUUAAUUCGAUGGUACACGAAGAACCUUACCAGGACUAGAAAUCCUAUUGAAAGGCUUAGGAAACUUUGCAACUCCGCAAGGACAAUAGGACAGGUGAUGCAUGGCCGUCGUCAGUUCGUGGUUUGAACUGUUCCCUUAAGUGGGGUAACGAACGCAACCCUUGUUGUCUGUUAUAAGUGUCAGGCAAGACUGCCCAGCCCAAAGAUCGGGAUUUUCAUUUUUUUAAAAUGAUGAAUCGCGCUUUGUGGGCUGGGAGGAAGGCGGGGAUGACGCCAGGUCAGCAUGUCCCUCUGACGUCCUGGGCUACACACAUCAUACAAUGGCCACUACAGCGGGUCGCGACGGAGCAAUCCAGAGCUAAUCCUUCAAAAGUGGCCUCAGUUCAGAUUGGGGGCUGCAACUCGCCCCCAUGAAGUUGGAAUCGCUAGUAAUCGCGGGUCAGCUAUACCGCGGUGAAUACGUUCUCAAGUCUUGUACACACCGCCCGU
rnacentral:rRNA from 1 species